GACGAACGCUGGCGGCGUGCUUAACACAUGCAAGUCGAACGGAAAGGCCCUGCUUUUGUGGGGUGCUCGAGUGGCGAACGGGUGAGUAACACGUGAGUAACCUGCCCUUGACUUUGGGAUAACUUCAGGAAACUGGGGCUAAUACCGGAUAGGAGCUCCUGCUGCAUGGUGGGGGUUGGAAAGUUUCGGCGGUUGGGGAUGGACUCGCGGCUUAUCAGCUUGUUGGUUGGGUAGUGGCUUACCAAGGCUUUGACGGGUAGCCGGCCUGAGAGGGUGACCGGCCACAUUGGGACUGAGAUACGGCACAGACUCAUACGGGAGGCAGCGGAGGGGAAUAUUGCACAAUGGGCGGAAGCCUGAUGCAGAAAGGCCGCGUGCGGGAUGACGGCCUUCGGGUUGUAAAAAGAAUUAGCCUGUGACGAAGCGUGAGUGACGGUAAUGGGUAAAGAAGCACCGGCUAACUACGUG
rnacentral:rRNA from 1 species